rnacentral:lncRNA from 1 species
ACAGUGACCCAGCACCAGAACGCCCAGAGGAGAGGUUUGGCACAUAACAGGCUGGGGAGAAACCUUCAUCAACUUAGGGUUCCCAGGCCAGCUUUGUCCGGGCUCUGGAUUGUCCUCUGAGAACCAUCUUCAUGAGGCCGUCAUGACCCAUCAACCAAGUGAAAUCUCAGCAUUUCCCCACUGACCAGACUGAACAUCUGACUAUUACAGUAUCUCAACAAACAAAAUGCCAGAAGGCUCAACUUCUAUGAGGCCCCAUGGGAA